GGGCCUGUAGCUCAGCAUGGACAGAGUGCUGGACUUCUAAUCCAGUGGUCAAGGGAUCGAAGCCCUUCGGGCCCGCCA
rnacentral:tRNA from 2 species